rnacentral:rRNA from 1 species
UACGGAGGAUGCGAGCGUUAUCCGGAUUUAUUGGGUUUAAAGGGUGCGUAGGCGGGAUAAUAAGUCAGUGGUGAAAACCUGCAGCUUAACUGUAGAACUGCCAUUGAUACUGUUAUUCUUGAGUGUGGUCAAGGUAGGCGGAAUGUGUAAUGUAGCGGUGAAAUGCUUAGAUAUUACACAGAACACCGAUUGCGAAGGCAGCUUACUGGACCAUUACUGACGCUGAUGCACGAAAGCGUGGGGAGCGAACAGG